CGGGGUGAGUAACGCGUGAGUAACCUGCCUUUCAGAGGGGGAUAACGUUCUGAAAAGAACGCUAAUACCGCAUGAGACUACAGAGCUGCAUGGCUCAGUGGUCAAAGGAGCAAUCCGCUGAAAGAUGGACUCGCGUCCGAUUAGAUAGUAGGCGGGGUAACGGCCCACCUAGUCGACGAUCGGUAGCCGGACUGAGAGGUUGAACGGCCACAUUGGGACUGAGACACGGCCCAGACUCCUACGGGAGGCAGCAUG
rnacentral:rRNA from 1 species